ACUUCUUCUACCACAGUAUGAAUGCCAGAUUGAUGCUUGCCAUUCUCCAUUUCAAUGAGAAUUCCAACAGACAGCAGGCUAAGAACAAAGCUGGAAAAGAAAUGUGGCAGCUCUCAUUUCCAAAGGCAAAAAAAGGAGAACCAGUAGCCAAACAAGUUAAAGUCCCUUGUACUUAUGCAUACAUUGAUGAGUUGUUGGAUGAAGUAAUGGCUCGUCGGGAGGCCAUACCUUCUUAUGAAGUUGCAAGGCAAGAUUUAGAAGCCCAAAUUGCUCCUGAAUACGUGAAAGACCAAUAUGACAAGGUCGAUAAACUCACAG